ensembl:miRNA
GAGCUGUUGGAUUCGGGGCCGUAACACUGUCUGAGAGGUUUACAUUUCUCACAGUGAACCGGUCUCUUUUUCAGCUGCUUC